CCUUCAUUUCAGCAAAGGCAUGAUCUGAAAAACAGUACUUCUAGCUGGAUACUUGUUACUUUCCUAGCUCUCUGUUCAGUUCCGCUUAGAUCGGAAGACAAGUAGACCCAAGUGGGCGGUCCCUGUGCUCUGUGGAGAUUGUUAAAUGCAAACUGACAGUUCUGACGGUCCUUCUCGUUAGCAUAAAGGUGCAUGUUGUAUACGUCAGGGUGUGAGAAGGGAGCAGUUGGUGACAUCCUUAAUUUAGGACAAGAGUUUGAGUUUGCCCACCCUCAUGUACGUGUGCAAAAGCUGGUGUGAUCGUGGGGAAUCACGGUCACAGCCUAGGUAGAUUCACCAGCCAUCCUCAGUUUCUCUUUCUCAAUUACCAGAUGCAC
rnacentral:lncRNA from 1 species